rnacentral:rRNA from 1 species
GACGAACGCUGGCGGCGUGCUUAACACAUGCAAGUCGAGCGAUGAAGCACCUUCGGGUGUGGAUUAGCGGCGAACGGGUGAGGAACACGUGAGGAAUCUGCCUUCCACUCUGGGAUAACUCCGGGAAACCGGGGCUAAUACCGGAUACUUUCAACUGGCGGCAUCGCCGGUUGAAGAAAGUUUUUCGGUGGAAGAUGACCUCGCGGCCCAUCAGCUUGUUGGUGAGGUAAUGGCUCACCAAGGCGACGACGGGUAGCCGGCCUGAGAGGGCGACCGGCCACACUGGGACUGAGACACAGCCCAGACUCCUACGGGAGGCAGCAGUGGGGAAUAUUGGGCAAUGGAGGAAACUCUGACCCAGCGACGCCGCGUGAGGGAUGAAGGCCUUCGGGUUGUAAACCUCUUUCAGCAGGGAAUAAGCGAAAGUGAAGGUACCUGCAGAAGAAGCACCGGCUAACUAUGUGCCAGCCGCCGCGGUAAAAC